rnacentral:lncRNA from 1 species
CCAAAAAAAAUUUAUAUUUGAAUGCCAAUUUUACAAAUAAAUUAACAAACAAAUUAUAUACAUAUAAAAUUAAUUUAAUACAGAUUAACACCCGUUAGAUUUUAGUCACAAUCAAAUUAGAAAACGCCUUAGAUUGUUGGAACAAUUAGCACAACGAAAAUCUGAUUGUGAUUUAAAUCUAACUAAAUUUGUGAUAAAAUUAAUAAACUAAACUUACAGAUAAUUGCUAAAUCCAAAUAAAAAAUUUUGAUUGAUCCGGAAGAGUGCGAGGCACUGACCUCAAGCGUAUUUCCGUCCUUACGUGCGGGAUUAAACGAGAACAACACCCAAGAUAUGAUCGGAAUUCCUCCUCCUGCGAGCAUGAUCGUGAAAGAGGUUGACUGUAACACACUGGACCUUUGCAAAUUGCGAGGUUCGAGUGUUUGGAUGUAUUUCGAGCUUUUCCACACUUGGUGGAGGGUUGUAGAAUGUUUUCCGACCUAGAAAGUUCGAAAACUGGGAUUUUGGACAAGUCCUGAGAGUUUUUACUCUCGGAGACCGGUCCCUGGAAAGAGAGAUCGAUCCCCCAGUGAGCAGUGUUGAGGCAGCCUGAGGCAACCGGUCCCUGGCAGGCGAGACCGGUCCCCGAGCGCGUCUUCGCAGUGAGAGACCGGUCCUGCGCUGGGAGAGACCGGUUCCCGAACGCUGGUUUUUCGGGUUCGCAGUGAGAGACCGGUCCCUGCUGGGGAGAGACCGGUCCCUCUGGGCGAAAACUGCCCAGUU